GUCAACGAUCAUACCAUGUUGAAAACACCAGUUCUCGUCCGAUCACUGAAGUUAAGCAACAUCGGGCGCGAUUAGUACUUAGAUGGGUGACCGCUUGGAAACGUCGCGUGUCGUUGGCC
rnacentral:rRNA from 2 species